UACGUAGGGUCCUAGCGUUGUCCGGAUUUACUGGGUGUAAAGGGUGCGCAGGCGGACUUAUAAGUCAGUGGUGAAAUCUCGGCGCUUAACGCCGAAACUGCCUUUGAUACUAUAAGUCUUGAGUUUGGUAGAGAUCCGUGGAAUUCCGAGUGUAGCAGUGAAAUGUGUAGAUAUUCGGAAGAACACCAGCGGCGAAGGCAGCGGAUUGGGCCAAUACUGACGCUCGGGCACGAAAGCAUGGGGAUCAAACAGG
rnacentral:rRNA from 1 species